rnacentral:rRNA from 1 species
AGUGAACGCUGGCGGCAUGCCUAACACAUGCAAGUCGAGGGGCAGCAUAGGGUAGCAAUACUCUGAUGGCGACCGGCAAACGGGUGAGUAACGCGUAUGUAACCUACCCUGUACAGGGGGAUAACCCGGAGAAAUUCGGACUAAUAUCCCAUAACAAUAUCCGGGGGCAUCUUUGGAUAUUUAAAGUUCCGGCGGUACGGGAUGGGCAUGCGUAACAUUAGCUAGUUGGUAAGGUAACGGCUUACCAAGGCUUUGAUGUUUAGGGGUCCUGAGAGGGUGGUCCCCCACACUGGUACUGAGACACGGACCAGACUCCUACGGGAGGCAGCAGUGAGGAAUAUUGGUCAAUGGGCGCAAGCCUGAACCAGCCAUCCCGCGUGCAGGAAGACGGCGCUAUGCGUUGUAAACUGCUUUUCCAGGGAGAGAAACUUGCGCACGUGUUGCGCAAUUGACGGUACCCUGGGAAUAAGCAUCGGCUAACUCCGUG